rnacentral:rRNA from 1 species
AGUUUGAUCCUGGCUCAGGAUGAACGCUGGCGGCGUGCCUAAUACAUGCAAGUCGAACGAAACUUCUUUAUCACCGAGUGCUUGCACUCACCGAUAAAGAGUUGAGUGGCGAACGGGUGAGUAACACGUGGGCAACCUGCCCAAAAGAGGGGGAUAACACUUGGAAACAGGUGCUAAUACCGCAUAACCAUAGUUACCGCAUGGUAACUAUGUAAAAGGUGGCUAUGCUACCGCUUUUGGAUGGGCCCGCGGCGCAUUAGCUAGUUGGUGAGGUAAAGGCUUACCAAGGCAAUGAUGCGUAGCCGAACUGAGAGGUUGAUCGGCCACAUUGGGACUGAGACACGGCCCAAACUCCUACGGGAGGCAGCAGUAGGGAAUCUUCCACAAUGGGCGAAAGCCUGAUGGAGCAACGCCGCGUGGGUGAAGAAGGUCUUCGGAUCGUAAAACCCUGUUGUUAGAGAAGAAAGUGCGUGAGAGUAACUGUUCACGUUUCGACGGUAUCUAACCAGAAAGCCACGGCUAACUACGUGCCAGCAGCCGCGGUAAUACGUAGGUGGCAAGCGUUAUCCGGAUUUAUUGGGCGUAAAGGGAACGCAGGCGGUCUUUUAAGUCUGAUGUGAAAGCCUUCGGCUUAACCGGAGUAGUGCAUUGGAAACUGGGAGACUUGAGUGCAGAAGAGGAGAGUGGAACUCCAUGUGUAGCGGUGAAAUGCGUAGAUAUAUGAAGAACACCAGUGGCGAAAGCGGCUCUCUGGUCUGUAACUGACGCUGAGGUUCGAAAGCGUGGGUAAAAAACAGGAUUAGAUACCCUGGUAGUCCACGCCGUAAACGAUGAAUGCUAAGUGUUGGAGGUUUUUCGCCCUUCAGUGCUGCAGCUAACGCAAUAAGCAUUCCGCCUGGGGAGUACGACCGCAAGGUUGAAACUCAAAGGAAUUGACGGGGGCCCGCACAAGCGGUGGAGCAUGUGGUUUAAUUCGAAGCAACGCGAAGAACCUUACCAGGUCUUGACAUCUUCUGACAAUCCUAGAGAUAGGACUUUCCCUUCGGGGACAGAAUGACAGGUGGUGCAUGGUUGUCGUCAGCUCGUGUCGUGAGAUGUUGGGUUAAGUCCCGCAACGAGCGCAACCCUUAUUGUAUGUUGCUACCAUUAAGUUGAGCACUCAUGCGAUACUGCCUGCGAUGAGCAGGAGGAAGGUGGGGAUGACGUCAAGUCAUCAUGCCCCUUAUACGCUGGGCUACACACGUGCUACAAUGGGCAGUACAGAGAGUUGCCAACCCGCGAGGGUGAGCUAAUCUCUUAAAGCUGUUCUUAGUUCGGAUUGUACUCUGCAACUCGAGUACAUGAAGUUGGAAUCGCUAGUAAUCGCAAAUCAGCAUGUUGCGGUGAAUACGUUCUCGGGUCUUGUACACACCGCCCGUCACACCACGAGAGUUGGUUGCACCUGAAGUAGCAGGCCUAACCGUAAGGAGGGAUGUUCCUAAGGUGUGAUUAGCGAUUGGGGUGAAGUCGUAACAAGGUAACC